UGGGGAAUAUUGGACAAUGGGCGAAAGCCUGAUCCAGCCAUGCCGCGUGUGUGAAGAAGGUCUUCGGAUUGUAAAGCACUUUAAGUUGGGAGGAAGGGUUGUAGAUUAAUACUCUGCAAUUUUGACGUUACCGACAGAAUAAGCACCGGCUAACUCUGUGCCAGCAGCCGCGGUAAUACAGAGGGUGCAAGCGUUAAUCGGAAUUACUGGGCGUAAAGCGCGCGUAGGUGGUUAGUUAAGUUGGAUGUGAAAUCCCCGGGCUCAACCUGGGAACUGCAUUCAAAACUGACUGACUAGAGUAUGGUAGAGGGUGGUGGAAUUUCCUGUGUAGCGGUGAAAUGCGUAGAUAUAGGAAGGAACACCAGUGGCGAAGGCGACCACCUGGACUGAUACUGACACUGAGGUGCGAAAGCGUGGGGAGCAAACAGGAUUAGAUACCCAUGUAGUCCCUGAGCGGGCUGGCAAGGCGCAU
rnacentral:rRNA from 1 species